UCACUUUGGGACCUGAAUGUUCUACAUAUUAUUAUAAGAUAACUUUUCUGUGCAUCAGAGGACAUACGCUACUGUUCUUAGAAAUAUAGAAAUAAUGCAGUUAUUAAGAACUGAUUCAAGUGAGAAUCAACUGACAUGAUAAUGCAUAGGGGUGCACUCACUCAUGCUGUGAACGGUACAUACUUUAUCGGCAUAUUUAUUAGCAGCAGACGGAGCAGGUUUAACAAGGGUAAACAUGUUCAGACUGGUGUCAGUAGAGGUGAUUUUUCUAUUUUUCAUCCUGCAGGUGGAGACCAUGCAUGACUUUGAAGCUGCAAAUUCAGAUGAACUGGAACUGAAGAGAGGUGACGUGGUGUUGGUGCUUCCCACUGCUUCAGUAGAGGAUCAGGAUGCUGGCUGGCUCACAGGGAUCAAAGAAAGUGACUGGUUAACCCUUGGAGUUGGUGCUCAAAAAGGACUUUUCCCAGAGAACUUUACCCAGCGUUUAGACUAAGAAGUUUCUUCAUGUGUUGGAAAAAUAAGUAGAAAUCUUCGUCCAAGCCAUUGAGUCAGCAUGUAGCCAACCACUUUCCUGAAAAAACCUUUUAACCUGCUGCAGCUGUCUGCUGGACAACAUGAAGCUCUACUAAAACUAACAGUCAUGUUAAUAAAAUCUAGUACUCCUCCCAGCAUAACUGAUCAUUAUAAGCAUGAUGCGUAGUAUGUUCUACCCUCCUCUGAAAGUGAGACAUAAUUUUUGUUCAAAGAAAAAUAUUGAUGUGUGGUUUAUUGGGAAUGUUGCAAUCUGUACAUAUUCACUCCAACUGAAAGUCUGACAAUUGUUGCUGAAGAAAACAAAUCAACAAAAAGAGACAAACUGUAUCAACUUUGCACCAAGUGUGUUGUAAUGAAUUUGUUGCUUUUCUGUGGUUUAACAGAAACUAGUGCUGUGAUCUAUUUAAAUGUUCUUGAGUGUAACAUGAAAUUUGUUUUUCGGACAUGUCAUUGCUGUUAAUCUUGAAUCGCUUUUGGUGUGUUCUGUAGUAUCAUUGUUGAGUGUGUGUGAUGAUUGGUCUUUUCUUUGUCAUUUGUGGUGAAGAAUUGAUGCCGUGAAGAGUGUUGCUGUGUUUUUGCCAAGAGAAUCCUGACAUCUAUUAUCUGUUACAGUCGUCACAUAUCUGAGCAUUGGAAAACAAACUAGUGCUCACCCAGCAUGAAACUGUUGACUAAAUCUUUUAAUAAAGUACAUAUUCCGAGAUGAAAAAUAAAAUAUCUCCACUAUUAAAAUAGA